rnacentral:rRNA from 1 species
AAAUUGAAGAGUUUGAUCAUGGCUCAGAUUGAACGCUGGCGGCAGGCCUAACACAUGCAAGUCGAGCGGAAACGACACUAACAAUCCUUCGGGUGCGUUAAUGGGCGUCGAGCGGCGGACGGGUGAGUAAUGCCUAGGAAAUUGCCUUGAUGUGGGGGAUAACCAUUGGAAACGAUGGCUAAUACCGCAUGAUGCCUACGGGCCAAAGAGGGGGACCUUCGGGCCUCUCGCGUCAAGAUAUGCCUAGGGGGGAUUAGCUAGUUGGUGAGGUAAUGGCUCACCAAGGCGACGAUCCCUAGCUGGUCUGAGAGGAUGAUCAGCCACACUGGAACUGAGACACGGUCCAGACUCCUACGGGAGGCAGCAGUGGGGAAUAUUGCACAAUGGGCGAAAGCCUGAUGCAGCCAUGCCGCGUGUAUGAAGAAGGCCUUCGGGUUGUAAAGUACUUUCAGUUGUGAGGAAGGGUGUGUAGUUAAUAGCUGCGCAUCUUGACGUUAGCAACAGAAGAAGCACCGGCUAACUCCGUGCCAGCAGCCGCGGUAAUACGGAGGGUGCGAGCGUUAAUCGGAAUUACUGGGCGUAAAGCGCAUGCAGGUGGUUCAUUAAGUCAGAUGUGAAAGCCCGGGGCUCAACCUCGGAACUGCAUUUGAAACUGGUGAACUAGAGUACUGUAGAG